CAGCCUGGGGCAUCACCUCUUCCAGGUAAAACUGGAUCAUCUCUGACAAGGCUUGGCAUCCCAGCUCUGCCACUGGAAUCCAGAACCCCAUGUGCACCUCCACCAAAGAAACCCUAUCUAUGUGUGAGAUGGAAUAAGUACUCCUACCCAUCUCCUGGUGAUGAACAGAAAACAGGAUUAAAUGCAUGUCACAGUGUCUGGCCCAUGAAGCCUUUUUGAAAAGAUUCCAUGAUGUCUAAUGAUCCUAGUGGUCAGAAUUUUCUUUUUUAUUCCAACAAACCCUCUCUCUUUCUUGAGCCUGUUGCUAACUUCAUGGAACACCAGGAGUUUCAGAUAAUCAAAAUCUUCUUGCCUU